UAGGGAAUCUUCCACAAUGGACGAAAGUCUGAUGGAGCAACGCCGCGUGAGUGAAGAAGGGUUUCGGCUCGUAAAACUCUGUUGUUAAAGAAGAGCAUAUCUGAGAGUAACUGUUCAGGUAUUGACGGUAUUUAACCAGAAAGUCACGGCUAACUACGUGCCAG
rnacentral:rRNA from 1 species